GUAGGGAAUAUUGCGCAAUGGGCGAAAGUCUGACGCAGCGACGCCGCGUGAGUGAUGAAGGCCUUAGGGUCGUAAAGCUCUGUUGAAUGGGAAGAAAAAAAUGACGGUACCAUUCGAGGAAGGACCGGCUAACUUCGUGCCAGCAGCCGCGGUAAUACGAGGGGUCCUAGCGUUGUUCGGAAUCAUUGGGCGUAAAGGGUGUGUAGGUGGCCAUGUAAGUCAGGUGUGAAAGCCCCGGGCUCAACCCGGGAAGUGCACUUGAUACUGCGUGGCUUGAGUACCGAAGAGGGUAGUGGAAUUCCAGGUGUAGUGGUGAAAUACGUAGAUAUCUGGAGGAACACCGGUGGCGAAGGCGGCUACCUGGUCGAGUACUGACACUGAGACACGAAAGCAUGGGGAUCAAACAGGAUUAGAAACCCGUGUAGUCC
rnacentral:rRNA from 1 species